GAACUGGGUCCGGAUGAACACACCACAAACCAACCAUUGCCAUUCUCUCGAACCUUUUGAAAUCAUCCGACACUUCUGGAUCAUGCUUAACCACCGCCUCUAGCUUACCCUUUCUCACACAAGUCAGAACCCAAUCCACGAGAAUAAGGUCAUCUUCUUCCGAUUCUUCCUCAACCCGGUUCAGCUCUAUGUGCUUUCUGCAGCAUAUGAUCUCAAGCAGCAGCACCCCAAAACUGUAGACAUCAACCUUGGCCGUUACUGGAACAUUUUUGAGCCAUUCUGGUGCCAUGUAUCCCAUUGUUCCUCUCACAUUGGUGCUUGUUCUAGUCUGAUCUUUCAUCAAUAGCUUCGCCAGGCCAAACUCUGCAAUUUUGGGAUUGAAUUGACUAUCAAGUAACACGUUCUGGGGCUUUAUAUCACAGUGAAUGAUUUGGGUUUCACAUUCAUCAUGUAAAUACGAGAGCCCACGUGCAAUUGCCAGAACAAUUUGAGCUCUAUGAUCCCAGCAUGGUUUCUCACCCUCGGAAAAUAGAAAACCAGACAGAGUCCCAUUUGUCAUCAGCUCAUAGACUAGAAGUCUAUGACUUUGCUCAUCACAGAAACCCAACAGCUUGACUAAAUUUUUGUGAUGGGUUUGGCCUAUUACCCUCAACUCUGUCAGAAAUUCUUUGUCACCUUGUUCCAUCACUCUCUCCAGCUUCUUCACAGCAAUCUUUAUCUGCUUAUCUUCCAAAUUUAGAAUCCCACUAUAUACUGUCCCGAAUGAUCCUCUUCCGAUUUUGUUUUUGAACCCAUCGGUUGCUUCAUGCAACUCCCUAUAUGUGAAUUUUUUCAAGUUGAUCUCUGCAGGAUUUGCAAGGAAUUUUCUUGCUCUGGAUAGUCUAGCUAUAGGGUUAUAUAUUGCAAAGGCAGCAAACAGGAGAGCAAGCAUGGUGCUUAUUGAAAGGCAUACCUUCAGAAUCAUCUGAGAGCGAGGCUCUUUCUUCCCCGCUAUUAGACCAUCAGUCUUCCCUUGCUCUACCACUGGAACCUUGAUGAUGGUUUGUAUCCCAUUAGUAGAAGGGCUGCUCUGUCUGGCAUUCAUAAAAGGAAUCCUCUUCUUGCGGCAAACGUUGUCUGCUGUUAGGGUAGCUGCCAUGCAAUAGCAAUCAUCCAUGACUGCCUCCCUGCAUUUCUCCAAAUCAGAAUUGUACAGUCGAGUCAUUUCUGUGAAUAAGUUGUUCACAAUAUCCGCAUUAUCAAUCACUUCUAUGUUAUAAUUUGUCACAUCAGAUGGACUCUUGGAGCACUGUUGCGGUGGGACAUUUGGAUAGCAUCCUUUGGAAGGAACAUUAGGAUCCAUGAGAGAAUAACCUGGAAGACAGCUACAAGUAACGUUUUGAUUAUCGGGAGAAGUACAGUAGCCGUAAACACCGCAAAUACCAUUGACAGAGCAAGGUUCAGUGGCCGCUUUCCAAACACUUGUCCAUCCGCUGCCAUUUACCUUAGGGUAAAUAUACUGCUGGAAAUUUCCGGUGUCUUCUACGGUUGCUCUGUGAUAAUAGCGGUCAACUGGUGUUGGCACAUUCGUGGUCAACCGGUAAAUGAUGGAAGUUAAAUUGGUAACAUACAUCAAUGCUGUGCUCUCAUUGAACACAAGACUAACGUUGGGCUGUAUAGUAUCAGUCCACCAGUAACCACUGUCUGCCCAUCGGAAUGUAGCUAGGACCACAUUUCCAUCAGUACCCACCUCUAGCAUGAAUUUUCCGGUAGAGUAGUCCACAGUUCCGUUAGCAUUGGAGUAGAGCCUAUGGUCCCAUGGAACUUUCUGGCCCAGUAAAAGUGUGUCCGUUGGGUUAUCAAAACUUUGCCACACCACACUUGAAACAAAGUUUCUUAAGACAAGGUUGCCGUUGUUUUGCAAGGAAGCUGAAUUCGCAGCACUGGCGCCGUUGGAUAUUUGGGAGACGGUUCCGUUGGGGAACGUCAGCACAAGGCUUCCAGCGAGCGUGAGGUUGACGGAGGAUCCAGCAGGGGCUGGAGCAUCCCGAUUUGCCGACCAAACAACGGUUUUCUCAGGAAUCUUAUUGAACCAAAUUCCAAGAAGAAACAGACCACCAGGGAGAGGGUAGAACCCGAAAGCAAAGUCGCCUGAGAGUGAGAGCCACGAGGAAUUUGUGUGGGUGUCGAAGCUGGAUCCUAAGCUUAUAUUUCCCUUCACUUGGGCAUGGGAUCCAAGGAAGAAGUGUAGCAGUAGCAGAGAGAACACAAGAAGUAUGGUAGCCGCCAUUGUUAUGUGGGGAAGAUAGGAAAAUUCGCAACAACAAAACAGAUGGGAUGAUUGUAUAUAGGAAAAACCUUGCAAAACUUCCACAUCGUGGAGAGACCACAGAAAACAAUGACUCACCCAACCACAGAAAGACACUAAGCAGUGCGGACCCGGAGACUUUCGUUAGGGCCACCUCAAAAAUAUUAUAUUAUAAUCUUCAUUCAUAAAUUAUAAGAUAAUUAAUGGUAUUUUUUAUUAUUAUUAUUAAAUAAUUAAAUAAUUUUAAAUAUUAAUUAUGAAUGGGUAAGUGUCAAAUUAAUGGUGCGGUCCCGAAUGAUACCCUUAUGGACUAAUAAUGGUAGAAAGCGAUAGAAAUUAGUGGUGUGGUCCUCUUUGGUGUAUGGGAAAGUCCAUAUAUAGUGCCGGAAUAUGUACGCAAAAAUAUAAGUCUUCCAUGCGGAACAAAAAUUUCCAAAAGUUGGGCAAAUUAAGAUCUAGAUAGGAAUAUGAGAACUAAGUAACAAAUGUGAAUGUCAUUGUAGGUCCACCCAGGAAGAAAAAUUUCCAAAGUUCGAAAAGAUGUACAUGGUGGGAAGAUGAGAAACUAUCCAACAAAUGUGAAUGUCAUUAUAGGUCCACCCAAGAAGAAAUUAUUUUUAUAUAUUUUUUCAAAUUUAUUUUGCUUACUUUUCUCUUUUAUAUAUAUUUAUAUUUAUUUAUAAUAAAACAAAAUAUAAAAAAAAAACUAUUUUCUCUAACACGGUUUUCUUUUUUUAGUAGUUUCUGCACAGAAACAUCACCGAGAAGUAUUCAACUUGCGUCAACCUUUGAACAGUACUUUCUCACAAUUUGAGGAUAUCUUUUUCCAGAAUAGUGUGGGUAGGCCCUGCUUCUUGAAUCUUGAGCCUUGUUGGCUGUAUGCCAAGGUUGAAAAUUAUGGUCUUAGUUUUGUCGACUUGUAUGGUAGACUGGGCUUCAUAUGGUGGACCUAUGCCCUGUCCUUCUGAUGUUUAUUUUAAUUUGAGGAGUUUAAAUAAUUUCCUCGUUUUGUUUCUUAAUUGGAAUAUCUUAUUUUUCACAAUAGUUUCAAGCUCUAAUUUAACCGAUUUUCCUAAAUUUUAUUAGAAUAGGGUAGAAUCUAAUUACAAACCUCUGAUCUUGCUCUCUCAAAAUUAAUUUUUUUAGCCAUCCAAGGUGAUGAUCUCCCACGUAUACAAAAAUACAAAAAAAAAAAAAAAAAAAAGGAAAAAGGAAAAGAAGAAGAAGAAAAAUUGACACAAUAUCCUAACGAAAAACAAACCAUGAUGAAUGAAAAGAAGAACAAGACAAACUCCAAACUUCAAAUGUGAUACAGGGGGCUGCUCGCUAAGGUAUAAAAUUCAAAGAUGUGGAAUUUAGAAUGUUGGGGCAUGGGCCAGGGGUGGGACGGCCACCUCCACUGUUCCUUCCAACAUCUGAAUCACCUUCUUCAUGGUUGGACGUAGAAUUGGGUCCGGAUGAACACACCACAAACCAACCAUUGCCAUUCUUUCGAACCUUUUGAAAUCAUCCGACACUUCUGGAUCAUGCUUAACUACCGCCUCUAGCUUACCCCUAAUCACACAAGUCAGAACCCAAUCUACGAGAAUAAGGUCAUCUUCUUCCGAUUCUUCCUCAACCCGGUUCAGCUCUAUGUGCCUUCUGCAGCAUAUGAUCUCAAGCAGCAGCACCCCAAAACUGUAGACAUCAACCUUGGCCGUUACUGGAACAUUUUUGAGCCAUUCUGGUGCCAUGUAUCCCAUUGUUCCUCUCACAUUGGUGCUUGUUCUAGUCUGAUCUUUCAUCAGUAGCUUCGCCAGGCCAAAGUCUGCAAUCUUGGGAUUGAAUUGACUAUCAAGUAACACGUUCUGGGGCUUUAUAUCACAGUGGAUGAUCUGGGUUUCACAUUCAUCAUGUAAAUACGAGAGCCCACGUGCAACUGCCAGAACAAUUUGAGCUCUAUGAUCCCAGCAUGGUUUCUCACCCUCGGCAAAUAGAAAACCAGACAGAGUCCCAUUUGUCAUCAGCUCAUAGACUAGAAGUCUAUGACUUUGCUCAUCACAGAAACCCAGCAGCUUGACUAAAUUUUUGUGAUGGGUUUGGCCUAUUACCAUCACCUCUGUCAGAAAUUCUUUGUCACCUUGUUCCAUCACUUUCUUCAGCUUCUUCACAGCAAUCUCUAUCUCCUUAUCCUCAAAAUUUAGAACCCCACUAUAUACUGUCCCGAAUGAUCCGCUUCCGAUUUUGUUUUUGAACCCAUCGGUUGCUUCAUGCAACUCCCUAUAUGUGAAUUUUUUCAAGUUGAUCUCUGCAGGGUUUGCAAGGACUUUUCUUGCUCUGGAUCGUCUAGCUAUAGGGUGAUUAUAUAUUGCAACAGCAGCGAAUAGGAAAGCAAGAAUGCUGCUUAUUGAAAGGCAUACCUUCAGAUUUCUUCCCCUCUAUUUGACCAUCAGUCUUCCCUGGCUCUACCACUGGAACCUUGAUGAUGGUUUGUAUCCCAUUAGUAGAAGGGCUGCUCUGUCUGGCAUUCAUAAAAGGAAUCCUCUUCUUGCGGCAAACGUUGUCUGCUGUUAGGGUUGCUGCCAUGCAAUAGCAAUCAUCCAUGCAUGACUGCCUGCAUUUCUCCAAAUCAUAAUUGUAGAGUCGAGUCAUUUCUGCGAAUUCGUUGUUCACAAUGUCCGCAUCGCCAAUCACUUCUAUGGUAUAAUUUGUCACAUUGGAUGGGCUCUUGGAGCACUGUUGCGGUGGGACAUUUGGAUAGCAUCCUUUGGAAGGAACAUUAGGAUCCAUGAGAGAAUAACCUGGAAGACAGCUACAAGUAACGUUUUGAUUAUCGGCAGAAGUACAGUAGCCGUAAACACCGCAAAUACCAUUGACAGAGCAAGGUUGAGUGACCGCUUUCCAAACACUUGUCCAUCCGCUGCCAUUUACCUUAGGGUAAAUAUACUGCUGGAAAUUUCCGGUGUCUUCUACGGUUGCUCUGUGAUAAUAGCGGUCAACUGGUGUUGACACAUUCGUGGUCAACCGGUAAAUGAUGGAAGUUAAAUUGGUAACAUACAUCAAUGCUGUGCUCUCAUUGAACACAAGACUAACGUUGGGCUGUAUAGUAUUAGUCCACCAGUAACCACUGUCUGCCCAUCGGAAUGUAGCUAGGACCACAUUUCCAUCAGUACCCACCUCUAGCAUGAAUUUUCCGGUAGAGUAGUCCACAGUUCCGUUAGCAUUGGAGUAAAGCCUACGGUCCGAUGGAACUGUCUGGCCCGGCAAGAGAGUGUCCGUUGGGUUAUCAAAACUUUGCCACACCACACUUGAAGAGUUCCUUAAGACAAGGUUGUUAGAUAUUUUUCUUCUAAUGUCCCACAUGACACGUGUAUGGCUUUAGUCUUUUAUUUAAAUGGAGUUAUCUAAUCUAAUCUCUAAAAUUUUGGCUAUACAAUUAGAGAAGUAGUUUCCUAUUUUUUUGUUUACUCCUGACUUUGAUGGGAAGUGGAGUAGCGGUUACUAAAUUGUUGGCAGUUAUCAAAAAGGAAAUGGGUCCUCUCUCUACCCAUUUAAGUAGCAUUACACAGUUUCCAUUUUUUCGUGUGUGGUAUGUAAUUUUCAUUUUUGAAAGAAAAAAGGGCUAAGAGAGAGAAACCGAUAUCCUGGAGAAUUCUACAAUUUUUCAGAUCAAGAAUUAAAUGAAAGAGAUUGCUAUGGAUUCAGGUAUGUUAUUUAUGUUUGUGAAAAUCAUGAUAGUCAAGAUCUUGGAAUUUAUAAAGCAUUAAGUUUAAAGUUUCAUUUUAUUUAUAACAUGUGGUAUCAGAGCAAGGUUAAGACUUUCAUGAUUUUCCAUUAUGAUCUAUUUGUUGGAAUCAUUUAUUUGGGGAAGUUUUUUUUUUCUUAAUAUUUUCGGUAACCAAACACAGCAAAAUAGAAACCACCUGAAUUUUCCUCAAAUGGGCCAUUUUGGCAUCCUUGAAUGGAUGCACCUGUAUUUCACAAUGAUGAGCAGCAGCAGCAAUAGUGAAUAGCUGGUCACCAUUAGGAUAUUGGACAACAUGGAGAAAACGGAUUCACACGGGAUGCACUCACUUGGGUCCAUUUGAGAAUUAGUUUCAAAUCUCUUCAUAUCCUAAAAUAAUAGUAGACAUAUAGAUGAAGUUAUGCAGCAACCAUCUUCUAGUAGACAUAAAAAAUUCAGCCAAAAUAAAGCCAGAGAUAGAAACUACUAGGAUUUAGAAAUUCUGUGGCUCUUCUUCAUGAUGCCGAAUAAAGAUCUGCAAAUCACAUUAAAGGAGUGGCAGAAAAAUACCCGCAAAAUAUAAGACAAAUUAAAUUUUUUAUUUAUUUAAUUUAUUUACAUUAUUAAUUACAUAUUAUCCAGUGACUAACUAAUUCCUAGAUAAGUGGGUUUUUAUUUUUCUGGGUAAUCAUAUAUGAUGCUAUUUCCAUGAGAAUUUCUAGUGAUAUUGUUGGCUACUUUAAUUUAUUAAACAAAUCACAUAUUUUUAGUGCAAUUUUUUUUUUCUUCCACGUGAUGCUACAUGCUACAUGCCUAUCUUUUAGUAAAUUGAUAAUAUUGCCCAUAAUUUGUUCUACAGUAUAGAACACAGUGCACGGAAUGUGUAUCAUUUACAAAUCUGAUUCAUGUCUAGAUUUUAUAAGUGACAUUUCUUGUAUUGAUAUGUUAUAAUUAUUUUCUAUAGUUUAUAUGAACAUGAAAUUGUCACUUAUAUGAAACUGUUUAGAUGAUAAUAUGAUGUGAUUGAUGAUAAAUUGUUUUGCAAAGUGAUUAUUUCAACUCGAAAUCCUAUUUUAUGAAAUAGUUUGGUGAUCACCAAAGUGAACCAACUAGAAAGUCAUAGGUUUUAAGUUGUAUUUUGGAUCUUAAUACUAAUAUCCCACGUAUUAAGAAAAUAGCUUUGCAAAUUUUUGAAUAGAUAUUUAUAUGUAUCUUUGAUCAUGAGAAUAUUUUGGCUUGGCCCAAAGGUGCACCACUUUUCUUGUGAUUAAUAUAUUGAGGUAAAAUAAUUAAUAUGUACCCUUAAUUGAGAGUUGGAAUCGGAUACCCAAAGGUAACGGACCUAUCGGAUUAUGGAUACAUUAUUAAUUAUUUUUGAUAGGUGAAAGGGAAUCACCAUAAUAGUCAAAAGUUUAAUUUUGUAUGUUGUAAUUUUCAUCCAAAGAUGUGUUACAAUAGUACUAUUUAUUAUUUAUUAUUUAACUCAAAGCAUUAAUGUGUGAGCAUAUAUUUAAUUGCAGUUUCAGUUCCUAUUUCGCUUCAUUCGCACGCUUCAUCUGUUUCGAUCCUUAAUGGAACAAAUUUCUCAGACUGGUUUGAGCAAGUCCAGUUUCACCUAGGUGUAUUGGAUCUUGAUUUGACACUUCGGACUGAGAAACCGCCUGCUAUUACUGAGGAAAGUAGCACGGAAGAAAAAACUUUAAGUCAUUCUUGGGAAAGAUCGAACAGAUUGAGCAUUAUGUUUAUGCGAAUGAGUAUAGCAAACAACAUUAAGUCAACACUUCCUGAACGUGACACUGCUAAGGAAUUUUUUAAGACUGUGGAAGAACGUUUUCGUUCAGCUGACAAGUCUCUUGCUGGGACAUUAAUGGAUGAACUUACCACCAUGAAGUUUGAUGGUACUCGUGGGAUGCAUGAGCACAUCCUUGAGAUGUCAAAUCUAGCUGCUAAACUGAAGGCUCUUGGGAUGAAUGUGGAUGAGUCUUUUCUUGUUCAAUUUAUUUUGAACUCCUUGCCUCUUCAGUAUGGGCCAUUUCAAAUUCAUUACAACACUAUUAAGGACAAGUGGAAUGUAAAUGAAUUGGCCAGUAUGCUUGUUCAAGAAGAGACAAGACUUAAGCAACAAGGACAUCAUUCAAUUCACCUUAAAAGUAAAGGAGCUAGUAAGAAGUGGAAGAAACCUAAGAAGGGCAAAAGGGCAGAACCACCUAAGAUCAAUGGGCCAAAUCAAAGAAUAGAGGUUCAUGAAAGGGGACAAAACAGUAUCAAGUGUCGUUUCUGUAAGAAGUUUGGGCAUGUUCAGAGAGAUUGCCACAAACGUAAGGCAUGGUUUGAGAAGAAAGGUAAGCCUUUAGCUUACGUAUGUUUCGAAUCAAAUCUUACUGAAGUUCCUUCUAAUACUUGGUGGAUUGACUUAGGUUCCACUGUUCAUGUUUCUAAUUCGAUGCAGGGCUUCCUUACAAUCCAGACUUUAAACCAAAAUGAAAGUUCCAUAGUUGUGGGAAAUGGAGUCAAAGUUCUAGUGGUUGCUACCGGGACAUUUCGUUUAUUUCUAGACACUGAUUGUUAUCUAGAUUUGUUUCAGACUCUUUAUGUUCCUUCUAUUUCUCGUAAUUUGGUUUCUAUGUCUAAACUUGACCUGGAAGGUUAUUCAUUUUCAUUUCGUAAUAGAAGAUUCAGUUUGUUUAAAAAUUCUUCUUUUGUUGGUUUUGGAAGUUUAUGUGAUGGUUUGUAUAAACUGAAUCUUAAUAAUCGUUUUACUGAAAGCCUUCUAACCCUGCAUCAUAAUUUCGGAACUAAACGUAACCUGAUCAAUGAAAGUUCUUCUUACUUGUGGCACAAAUGUUUGGGUCAUAUAUCCAAAGAAAGAAUGAAGAGAUUAGUGAAAGAUGGGAUUUUGCAUAACCUAGAUUUUACUGAUCUCGAUGUGUGUGUGGAUUGUAUUAAGGGAAAACAAACCAAACAUACAAAGAAGGGUGCUACAAGAAGUGGAGAACUUCUUGAAAUCAUCCAUACGGACAUUUGUGGGCCGUUUGACUUGCCAUCUUUUGGUAAAGAAAAAUAUUUUAUCACUUUCAUUGAUGAUUUUUCACGUUAUUGUUAUAUCUAUUUAUUGCAUGAAAAAUCUCAAGCAGUGGAUGCCCUAGAGGUGUACAUUGUUGAGGUUGAAAGGCAAUUAGAUAAAAAAGUGAAAAUUAUCAGAUCAGAUAGAGGUGGUGAAUAUUAUGGUAGAAAUGAUGGAUUGGGUCAAUGCCCUGGCCCAUUUGCUAAACUCUUAGAAAAGCAUGGUAUAUGUGCACAAUACACUAUGCCAGGUACGCCUCAGCAGAAUGGAGUGGCUGAAAGGCGUAAUCGUACAUUGAUGGAUAUGGUUAGGAGUAUGUUAAGUAAUUCCUCUUUACCCAUUUCAUUAUGGAUGGAAGCCCUUAAGACCGCUGUUUAUUUAUUGAAUAGGGUUCCUACUAAAACAGUUCCAAAGACUCCUUUUGAACUGUGGACAGGAAGGAAACCAAGUUUAAGGCACUUGCAUGUUUGGGGUUGCCCAGCGGAGGCUAGGAUUUAUAAUCCACAUGAAAAGAAAUUGGAUUUCAAAACCAUUAGUGGUUACUUUAUUGGCUAUCCAAUGAAAUCCAAAGGGUAUAGGUUUUAUUGUCCUAAUCAUAGUACGAAAAUUGUUGAAACGGGUAAUGCCAGAUUCAUUGAGAAUGAUGAAAUCCGUGGGAGUGAUCAAUUACAAAAAACAAAUAUUCAAGAAGUUAGGGUACAAGUCCCACUACCCAUAACUUCUAAAGAAAUUGUUAUUCCUACAAUUGUAGAAUCAUUUGGCAAUGUUAAACAACAAAUUAAUGAUCAGUCACUCUCCAAUGAGAUUAUCACUAAUGAACCAAUUAUGGAAGGACCACAACAGUCAACAUUAAGAAGGUCUCAAAGAGAACGUAGACAUGCUAUUUCUGAUGAUUAUGUGGUUUAUUUACAAGAAUCUGAUUAUGAUAUUGGGACAAGUAAAGACCCGGUUUCAUUUUCACAAGCCAUUAGCUGUAGUGAUUCUGAUAAAUGGAUUGAUGCCAUGAAUGAUGAGUUGAAAUCAAUGGAUCAAAAUAAAGUCUGGGAACUUGUCGAAUUGCCUGAAGGAUAUAAAGCAGUUGGUUGUAAAUGGGUCUUUAAGACCAAACGCGACUCAAAAGGCAAUAUUGAACGACAUAAAACCAGACUUGUGGCCAAAGGUUUUACUCAGAAAGGGGGUAUUGAUUAUAAGGAGACCUUCUCUCCUGUAUCCAAGAAAGACUCACUUAGAAUCAUUAUGGCUUUAGUUGCUCAUUUUGAUUUAGAGCUACACCAAAUGGAUGUGAAAACUGCUUUUCUUAAUGGGAGUUUAGAAGAAAAGGUUUAUAUGGAUCAACCUGAAGGUUUCUCCAUAAAGGGAAAAGAACAGAUGGUUUGCAAAUUAAAUAAGUCAAUAUAUGGACUUAAACAAGCUUCUAGACAAUGGUAUCUUAAAUUCAAUGAUACUAUUACUUCCUUCGGAUUUAAGGAAAACAUCGUUGAUCGGUAUAUAUACCUGAAGGUUAGUGGGAGCAAGUUUAUAUUUCUAAUUUUAUAUGUUGAUGGUAUUUUUCUUGCCAGUAGUGAUCUUGGUUUAUUGCACACAACCAAGAAAUUCCUCUCUGAGAAUUUUGAAAUGAAAGAUAUGGGUGAGGCAACUUAUGUGAUUGGAAUAGAAAUAUUCCGUGAUCGCUCACGUGGUUUGUUGGGGUUGUCUCAAAACCAAUAUAUUGAAACAAUCUUAGAGAGAUUUGGUAUGGAGAACUGUUCAGCUAGUGUAGCCCCAAUUCAGAAAGGGGAUAAAUUUAGUCUCAUGCAAUGUCCAAAAAAUGAAUGGGAACGUAAACAGAUGGAAAAAAUUCCUUAUGCUUCUGCUGUAGGAAGUUUGAUGUAUGCACAAACUUGCACCAGACCAGACAUCAGUUUUGCAGUUGGUAUGUUGGGCAAAUACCAAAGUAAUCCUGGAAUGGAUCAUUGGAAAGCUGCAAAGAAAGUGAUGAGGUACUUGAGGGGAACAAAAGAUUAUAUGCUUGCUUUUAAGAGGUCUGAUAAUUUGGAGGUGAUUGGCUACACAGAUUCAGACUUUGCUGGAUGUGUUGAUAGUAGAAAAUCAACUUUUGGUUAUGUAUAUCUAUUGGCUGGGGCAGCAAUUUCAUGGAAAAGUGCUAAACAAACUAUUAUUGCUGCAUCCACAAUGGAAGCUGAAUUUGUGGCAUGCUUUGAGGCCACGGUUCAGGGUUUAUGGCUGCGAAAUUUUAUCUCAGGGCUUGCUAUUGUCGACACUAUUGAGAAGCCGUUGAAGAUUUAUUGUGAUAAUUCUGCAGCUGUAUUUUUCUCCAAGAACGACAAAUACUCUAAUGGUGCUAAACACAUGGAGUUAAAGUAUUUUGCCGUUAAGGAGGAAGUUCAGAAACAACGUGUGUCUAUUGAACAUAUUAAUACUGAGCUCAUGGUUGCAGAUCCACUAACUAAAGGGUUACCACCAAAGACAUUUAAAGAACAUGUUAAAAGAAUGGGUCUUGAUUGUAACCCUUGAUGCCUAUUAUGUUUGGAUUGCAAAUGUUUGUUUAUGUUAUUAGACAUUUUGAGAUCUCAUUAAUCAUGUUUCUGAUUUUUCCUGUUUUCCAUUUUGUACGUACAUCUAUGAGAUUGGAUAAAUGAUAACAGGAAGUCUUUUACAAAGACAUUUUUUUUGUUGGACCAAUUUUGGAUACUUCUCAUUUAUGAACCAUGGUUGAUUGGAUUGCUAGUGUUGUAGUACAUGGAAGGGACUAUGUCGCCUUAUUGAUGUACAACCACCAUGACUCAUACUAGUGAUUCAUUUGACCAUAGUAUUUAUGAUGACCAAUUUGAGUUAGAAAUGGAUUAGUUUUUUAUGCGCAUAAUGUUGACUUCAUUGGGGCUAAAAUAAAGUUAGUCAUAUGGGACAAGUGGGAGAAUGUUAGAUAUUUUUCUUCUAAUGUCCCACAUGACACGUGUAUGGCUUUAGUCUUUUAUUUAAAUGGAGUUAUCUAAUCUAAUCUCUAAAAUUUUGGCUAUACAAUUAGAGAAGUAGUUUCCUAUUUUUUUGUUUACUCCUGACUUUGAUGGGAAGUGGAGUAGCGGUUACUAAAUUGUUGGCAGUUAUCAAAAAGGAAAUGGGUCCUCUCUCUACCCAUUUAAGUAGCAUUACACAGUUUCCAUCUUUUCGUGUGUGGUAUGUAAUUUUCAUUUUUGAAAGAAAAAAGGGCUAAGAGAGAGAAACCGAUAUCCUGGAGAAUUCUACAAUUUUUCAGAUCAAGAAUUAAAUGAAAGAGAUUGCUAUGGAUUCAGGUAUGUUAUUUAUGUUUGUGAAAAUCAUGAUAGUCAAGAUCUUGGAAUUUAUAAAGCAUUAAGUUUAAAGUUUCAUUUUAUUUAUAACAAAGGUUGCCAUUGUUUUGGAAGGAAGCCGAAUUUGCAGGAUUGGUGGCGCCGUCGUGUAUUUGGAUGACGGUUCCGUUGGGGAACGUCAGCACAAGGCUUCCAGUGAGCGUGAGGUUGACGGAGGAUCCAGCAGGGGCUGGAUCAUCCCGAUUUGCUGACCAAACAACGGUCUUCUCAGUAAUUUUAUCGAACCAAAUUCCAAGAAGAAACAGGCCGCCAGGGAGAGGAUAGAACCCGAAAGCAAAGUCGCCGGAGGGUGAGAGCCAGGAGGAAUUUGUCUCGGUGUCGAAGCUGGACCCUAAGCUUAUAUUUCCCUGUAAUUGCGCAUGGGAGCCAGACAAGAAGUAUACCAGUAGUAAAGACAACAAAAGAAGUAUGGUGGCUGCCAUUGUUUUGCGGGGAAGAUAGGAAAAUUUGAAAUAGAGAAAAACAGAUGGGAUGAUUACAUAUAGGAAAAACCUUGCAAAAUUUUCUUUUAAUGUCGAAUAAAGGAGCGUGGAGAGACCGUCGAAGACAAUAACUUUCCCAAUCAUUCAAAAUGGCACUCUCGCCGAAAUUUCUGCAGAAUACCGUCUAUCACCCCCUGACAAGUCCAUAUACCAGAAUAUGUACACAGAAAUUUAAGUCUUCCACGCGGAACAGAAAUUUCCAAAAGUUGGAAAAUUAAGAUGUAGAUAGGAACCUGAGAAACUAAGCAACAGACAUGAAUGCCAUUGUAGGUCCACUCACAUGUUACACCUGGGAAAAAAAAUCCCAAAGUUGGAAAAGAUGUAGGAAGGAAAUUGAGAAUCUAAGAUGCUGUUUGGAAACUAUUUACUAUUUUUAAUCAUGGUUUUUUUUUCUACAAAACAAUAAAAUAGAAGGACAUGACAUUCAAUAAUCAUAAAAACAUCGUUUUUAGUUAUUUUUAUUUAUUUUCAUUCAUUUUAAAGAAAUAUAUAUAAAUGUGAAUAAUGAUUAAAAGAAAAAACAUGAUAUAUAAAAAUAUGUUUAAAAUAUAUUUAAAAAAACGAUUUUCAGUUACUUUAUUUAUUUUUUAAUAGAUAUUUAAAAAAAUAAUUAUAAAAAUAUGGAUAAUGAUUAAAAACAAAAUAUCACGUAUAAAAAUUAUUUCUAAAAACUUAUUUAAAAACAUAAAAAAUUGGGUCAACAACGGAUAAUUUAGUUCGAGUGCGAAAGAAAAAUAGUACAACUUCCGUAUGGAGAUGAAAUGAUAUCCUCAUGGACUAACAAUGGUAGAGAGUAAUAGAAAUUUAUGGUGUGGUCCUGAGUCAAACUCGUGCUUUGGCCUUGAAUUGUAAUCCCAUCUAAUAUAUUAUUAAAAGAAACCAGGUAUGCUGUAAUGCCGCAAACCCAAUUUAGGGUAACAUCGUAAUUUAUAAAUUAUUAAUUCAUUAAAAUAAUUUACUAAAGGUAAAAAUGUAUUUUCGUAUUUAAAAUUCUUAUAUAAAUUAGAUUUUUCUCAUAUUUCCUAUUCAGAAAACUUUUUUACACAGAUAUUAUCAGAGAGUAGAGGGUUGAUUUGGAUGUUUAGGGUUUGAAGAUUAAUUUUUCAGGUAAGAUUUUAAUCCUUAAAUUAAUAUUUUAUAUUUGUUAAUUAGUUUUAAAAACUUUAGAUAAUCUUUGAAAGAUCUCAAUCUAGAUUAGAGUUUGUUAAAUUAAUUUUUAGAUUAAAAAACUGAAAAUUUAUGAAUGUUGAUUAAUUUGUGAUGAAAAUAGGAGAAUUUAGAAAAUUUCAAUUAAAUAGAAAACAAAAUCAAUGGAAGAAAAGAAAUUUUAGAUUUAGAAAAUAAAUAAAUAAAUUGUUUGUGUAGGCUUUAGAUUUGGAAAAAAAAACGUGUAGAUAUAUGUAUUGUAUGAAAAAUAAAAAUAAAUAUAAAUAAAUAAAUAUAAUGAGAGGCAUGUAGGUGGCUCUGUUCAAUGUUGUGGGAAAAAAAAAUUGGAGGACGUCUCUGUUGCCCAAGUGUUGACUUAGACAUUAGAAAAGAUUGUAUAUGUAAAUAUAUUAUUAUAAUAAUAAAUAAUGAGAAGAAACAUGAAAUUUGCUAUUUUAUUCUUAGGGGUUUGUGUGUAAUGAAGAUAGGAGGGUAAUGAGUUGGUUUUGUAUUGAAUUUGAAAAUUAAUAAAAAUUAUAAUAUUUAGUUUUAAGCUAACAAAUGAAAUAUUAAUAAUAAUAAUAGUUUCUCGUAUAAGUUUUAAUUUAAUUUAAGUAUAUAAAGAAAUAAAUAGUAAGGAUAAGAUUAGGAAAGAAAAUGAAUUUUAUAAUAAUUUGAAAACUCACUAAUUAAUUUAUUAUUGUUUAAUAAGUUAAAAAAUAAUAUUGGGUAGUAAUAAUAUUAGUAUGAGAAAUUAAUUAGGAUCUCUAAUAUUAAAUAAAUAUUUUUAGGAUUUUCAAAUUUAUAUAUUUACAUAAAUAAUCAAUAAUCAAUAUUGUGUAUGAUAUGUGAAUAGAAAUUUUUUUAGAGUUAAAUACUUCAAGGUAAAGGAAAUUAAUGCAGACUUUUAUAAAAAUAAAAAAAUAAAAAAAUAUUUUUAUAUUGUAUUUUGAAAUAUGUAAAAAUAUUAUUUUUGCUGUAAAAUAUGAGAUUCUGUACUACUAUGAUAACUUGUGGAUGAUCAUCCAUAAAUAUCCUGUGUAACUCCCAAGGAGAGACCCCUAAUGAAAUUCAAGAGGGCUUUCCCGUACACUCCGUUAUCUAUUUUUUACUAAUAGUCUCUACAAAAAAAUAUAAAGAUUUUUCUUUAUUCAAAGAAAUAAGAAAGACGUUAUUCUUUUUACAGAAAUAGAAAGAUGUUAUUCUCUUUAGAGAAAUAGAAAAAUCUUCUCUUUUUUUUCUCACAAAAAGGUAUGUGAUAAACUUAUAUCAUGAUUUUCUACUUUAUCACCAUUUGACUCUCUAUUUUCACUUAUUUUAUUUGAAUAUAUAAAUUUGUGCAAUCCCUAUAACCAGAAGUUAUGAGAUAAAUUAUAAAUUAUUAAAUUAAUUCAUAACCAGAAGUUAUGAAAAAUAUGUGCAAUCCCUAUAACCAAAAGUUAUAGGGAAAAUUAUAAAAUUACAAAUACAUGACCAAAAGUUAUGUAUAUGAUCCCUAAUUAUUUAUUUUUAAUUAUACGGUAUAACUAGAAGUUAUACCAAACAAUAUUAUAGCCAGAAGUUAUAAAGUAAAUAAAUAAAUGAAUGUUCAUAGUCUGAAACUAUAUACAAAUCUACAUAAUGAAAGUUCAUAGCCCGAAGCUAUGCACAAAUCUACCCAAUGAAUAGUUCAUAGCUUGAAACUAUAUACAAAUUUAUAUAUAUAUAUAUAUAUAUAUAUAUAUAAACAGUUCAUAGCCUGAAGUUAUGUACAAAUUUAAAUAUUUUCUUGUUUUGACAAAAUAAUCAUGGUUUGAAGCUAUGAAAGAUAUUAACUUUUAAUUUAUUUAAUUUCUUUUAAUUAUAUUGUGUAACUAGAAAUUAUACAUAAAUAGUUUAUAGCCUGAAGCUAUGUACAAAUUUGCAUAUUUUCUUGUUUUUGACAAAAUGAUCAUAAUUCAAAGUUAUGGAAAAUAUUGGCCUUUAAUUUUUUAUUUUGUACUCACUUAUUUUUCACAAUAGGAAUUAUGGAAAAUAGUUUUUAUUAACAAUAGUUUCAUAGAUAGAAGCUAUGCAUACAAUUUCUAAUUCCCUUGUAUAACCAGAAGUUAUUCAAAACAAAAUUGUCAAUGAAUUUUGGAGCUAUGAUCAAAGAAGGAAAUCAAGCAUUCCUACAAGAUCGUACAAAAACACUGAUUUUCCUUCGUCAUCAUCUCCAUGAAGGUUUAACAAAAAAUGAGCUUUUGAUGAAAAAUCACUCGUCUCAUCCAACUAGAUCUGAAUCAUUCCCUAAAGUGAAUACAAUAUUGUCCCAAACUCGUGGAUGAUGACAAGGAUGUGGUUGUGGUCGUGGAAGAAAUCCCCAAUACCAUGGUUCUUAUAGUAAUAAUUCACUAAAUUCUUAGAAAAAGAAAACCUCAUUGCACCACCAAAAGUGGAAUAAUACUAAGGUAAAACAAGAAAAUGGGAAGUGUUUACGAGAUAAAUCUCUUAAGAACCAUGAGAAUAAGUGUUAUAGAUGUGGUAUGAAGGGACAUUGAUUACGUACCUGUCGUACGCCCAAACAUUUGAUCGACCUUUACCAAGCAUCAAUAAAAGGAAAGGAAGUUGACAUGAACUUCAUUGAUAGUGAUGACCAAGUGGAUCUAACCCAUUUAGAUGUUUCGGAUUUCUUUGAGAAUCCUAAUGGGAAAAUUGACCAUCUAAUUGGUGAUGAAAAUGUUUGUUAUGAUUAAACAUUAUGUUUUUAUUUAGUUAUUUGAAAAUAGGUUUAUUUUGUUAUCAUCUUUGAACACAUUGUUUAUUGUUCCUCUUUUAUAGUUUAUUUCACAUUUUAUUAUUUAUCAUUUAAAUUCUUUUCUUUAUUUAUACUUGAAGAUACAUGGAUCUCUCUCAUACCUUGAUCCAUCACUACAAUUAGUUUGAUUAUUGAAAUACUUCCUAGUUAUUUCAUGUAUAAAUUGCUAUACACUUACAAAAUCAAAUGUGUGAGAUACUUACGAAAUAUAUAACUUUAAAUUAUCUUUUUAUAUUUGUUUUAUUGUGUUAUAUAUGCUCUCAUUGCUUUUACACAACUUAUUAAGUUAUCAUCGAUAACUAAUAUUUUUCCAUUGAUUUUAACUUUUUCUCUAUGAUAAUAUUUAUUAAACUCUACAAAGAUGAAGUCUUUAUGACAAUGUUUUAUGACUUGUUACUUUGAUGAAACUCUUGUCUCAUAAUUGCACAACAUUGAUGACAAACAAUGUUAAUACUACAUCAGGUGAUAGAAACCUAAUUAAAGGCUCCAGAAGAGCUUAUACUAUGUCACUAGUGGUAUUUGAUUCCAUGUGAAUGACACUUUAUAUGAUAGAUCCAGAAGAAUCUUUUAAGACUAACUUGGUCCCCCGGGGUAAAAGGUCAUAUUGAUGUACAUUACAAAACUAGAAGUUUUUAUUUGGUGACUAGUCUACCUAUACACUUAAAAGGUAGAAUGACAUGUUGUGUAGAUUAUCAUUUUAAUAAGACAAUUUUCUCGCCGUUAGGGGGAGAAGAGCCCGUUUCAGAAGAACGACGUGAAAUUAUUUGGAAUGCCUUGACUUUGACUCAUCUUGAUCCUCAUACAAAUCAAUGUGAACUAGAAGUUCAAAGAAUCAAUAAUUUACAAAAUCUUGCAAAUCAAUUACAAGAUGCAUUCAUUGAUACAAAGAAAGUGACAAAGUCAUAUAUCCCGGCUACAAAUACUCCAACAUGGAUUGAUGUCCCUGUAGGACAGUUAACAAAUUAAUCUAAGAUACGCUUGAAGCAUGGUAGAUCUGUCGGCUCAAAUGAUGUAACUCCCUAGAAGAUGAGAACCCAAGAAAAAUUUAUCACUCUAAAAGAGGCCAUAAAAAAAUAACUGAUCAAUUUAAAAUUGAUAAAUCUAUAGCCCUAGAAGAGGCAUAAAUAAUACAAGACGCCCUUGAAGAGGCACAAAUAUUGAACAAGAAGCCCUUAAAGAGACACAUAUUGAACGAGAAGUCCUUGAAGAGGCACAGGUACUUGAAAAUUGUGAGAUAUCAGUAAGUUAUAUAUACACGGGAGAAAAAUGAGAUCAAAAUAAUAUUAUUUUCACUUCCAAGUGGCCUUCAUAAGAAAUGAUGAAGAUCCUAAACCACGAAAUGUGGAGGAAUGCCGACAUAGAAAUGAUUGGCUAAAAUGGAAAGAAGUUAUACAGACAAAGUUAAACUCAUUAACAAAAUGAGAAGUUUUUAGACCUGUAGUCCAAACACCUGAAGAUGUAAAGCCUGUUGGAUACAAAUGGGUAUUUGUACGAAAACGCAAUGAGAAUAAUGAGAUCAUAAGAUAUAAAGUGCGAUUAGUAGCACAAGGUUUCUCACAGAAACCUGGUAUUAACUAUGAAGAAACAUUCUCUUCCGUCAUGGACGCAAUCACAUAUCAUUUCUUAAUUAGUUUGGCAGUCCCAAAAGGACUAGAUAUGUGUCUCAUGAAUGUUAUGACAACAUAUUUAUAUGGAUCCAUGGAUAAUGAUAUAUACAUGAAAAUCCCUGAAGGAUUUAAAUUACUUGAAGCAAAUUGUACAAAGCCUUGUAGCAUAUACUCAAUUAAGUUACAACGAUCCUUGUAUGGAUUAAAACAAUCUGGACGCAUGUGGUACAACCGCCUUAGCGGAUACUUGCUAAAAGAAGGGUAUAUGAAUAAUCCUAUAUGCCCAUGCAUCUUCAUUAAGAAAUUAGAAUCUAGAUUUGCAAUUAUUGCAGUGUAUGUUGAUGACUUAAAUCUUGUUGGAACUCCUUAAGAGCUCACAAGAACAACAAAUUACUUGAAAAAGAAAAUUUGAGAUGAAAGAUCUUGGAAAAACAAAAUUUUGUCUUGGCCUAUAGAUCGAGCAUUUUCGAAAUGGAGUUUUAGUACAUCAAUCAACAUACAUUAAGAAAGUUUUGGAGCAUUUUUAUAUGGAUAAAGCCUAUCCUUUAAGCUCUCCAAUGAUUGUCCGAUCAUUUGAUGUGAAAAAUGACCCAUUUCGUCCUUACGAAAAAAGAUGAAGAAUUACUUGGUCCUGAAGUACCAUAUCUUAGUGUUAUUGGUGCACUUAUAUAUCUGACCAAUUGUAUACAUCCAAACAUUGUUUUUUCUAUCAAUUUAUUAGCAAGAUAUAGUUCCGCUCCAACUCGAAGACAUUGGAAUGGUAUCAAACAUCUAUUGCGUUAUCUUCGUAGAACUACUAAUAUGAGUUUAUUUUACUCAAGGGAAUCAAAGUAACAAUUGCUUAAAUAUGCAGAUGCAGGAUAUCUUUUAGAUCCACAUAAAGGUAGGCCACAAACAAGGUAUGUGUUUAAUUGCAAUGGUAUUGUUAUUUCAUGGAAAUUUGUCAAACAAACAAUGGUGGCCACAUCAUCAAAUCAUUUAGAAAUAUUAGCAAUUCAUGAAGCAAAUAGUGAAUGUGUAUGACUAAGGUCAAUGAUCCAACACAUUCAAGAAACAUGUGGACUACCUUCCAUAAGAGGCAAUGCAACCAAGUUACAUGAAGAUAAUGUUGCUUGUAUUGCACAAAUUAAAGGAGGAUUCAUAAAAUGUGAUAGAACUAAGCAUAUCUCCCUAAAUUCUUCUAUACUCAUGAGCUUUGAAAGAAAGGUGAGAUCGAUGUUCAACAAAUUUGGUCAUGUAAUAAUCUAACAGAUCUAUUCACAAAGGUGUUACCUUCGACCACAUUGAAAAGUUAAGGUAUGACUUUGGAAUACGAAGAUUGAGAAGUCUACCAUUUGAAAUGUUGAAGAAAUCAUAAUCAUGUUUACAUGAGGGGGAGAAUGAUAAUAUGAAUAUACUGCACUAUUUUUUCCUUCAUCCAGAUUUUGUCCCAUUGAGUUUUACUGGCAAGGUUUUUAACGAGGCAGUUAUAGUAAUCCAAAAGAAUAUUGUACUCUUUUUCCUUUACUAGGGUUUUUCUCAUAGGGUUUUUCCUAGUAAGGUUUUAACGAGACAUAAUCUUAUGAUCAUCCAAGGGGGAGUGUUAUAAAAUAUGAGAUUCUCUACCAUUAUGGUAACUUGUGGAUGAUCAUCCAUAAAUAUCUUGUGUAACUCCCUUUAAAAGGAAGAAACCCCUAAUGAAAUUCAAAAGGGUUUUUCUGUACAUUCUAUUAUCUCUUUCUUGUUUUCUUUUUCUCUCACUUUGUUUUAUAACAAUUUUUAUUUUUUCGCAUGGAUCAAAUAUGUGUUUUGUAUGGAAAUCAUUUUUUUUGAGAAUUUUCUUUGUUUAUUUAUGAAAAGUGAAAAAUUAAGAAGAUAUGAUAUUUUGUUUUGUAAGUUUGAAUUAAUGAAAUAAAGUGUAUGACUUUGAAUUAUAUGAUCCUAGUCAACGGGUUAUAAUUGUUGACAUUUUUGGCCCUAAUCAACGUGUUAUAAUAGUUGACCUUAUGACCCUAGUCAAUGGACUAUAAUUGUUGACAUUUGGUGUUGUUCACCUUAAAUGAAACAAAUUUGAAACUAGUCACUCAUUUGUAAAGUCCCACUUAAUUGGGCACCAUUUAUUAUUUUGAAUGUAUUCAAUUUGGUUUUGAUGAAAAAUUGUUUUGAAAUGGAUAUGAAAAAGUUUUGUUGAAAAGUUUGAAUGUAUUAGUAUUUUGAACUUAAAAGUUUUUAUGAAAAUAAGUAUAUAUUAUAUAUCCUAUUUGCAAGUAUGAUUGAAAAUGUUUGAUCCAUGAAAUUGCAUUGAUGUUCCUUAUUGAGCUUUAAGCUCAUGCCCAUUCGUUGAUAAUUUUUCAGGUACUUUCAGUUCGGGCGAGGAGUGAUGGCUAGGUUGGGGAAUUUUUCUUUGUUAGGAUUUUGGUUCAAACUUUAUUUUGGACAUUGUUUAGAUGUUAAGAUUUAAUUCAUGUUUAAAUUAUUUGAAUUUGGAGUUAUUUGGACAAUAAUACUCUAGUUGAUGUGUUAAUUUUUUUUUUUAAAGUUGAUACUUGGAGAUUUUAGAAUUUUGUUUUACUACUUUGAACAAGAAUUUGGUAAUUGGUAAAUUUUCAAUUACAAUAUGAAUGUUUGUAUUAUUUGUAUAUUGAUUCCUUGGGCUUGAGGUGUGAAAUGACCGUCAUGCUCUAAGAGUGGGUUUUGGGGCGUGAUAUAUGCAUAGUUUAAAUUUAGGGGAUUUAUUUUCUAUAUAUUCUCCGAACUGCUCAUGAUGCCUACCAACAACAGUAACUCGUGUCAAGAACAAUUACAACAAGAUAAUUAAAAUUAAUUAAAAAUUUAUAUAUUUUUAAAUAAUAAAUAAAAAUAAUUUAUUAAUUUUAAAUUUUUAUUUUCAUUCAUUUCUUCUUUUCAUUUCUGUUUUCUUUCUCUUACAUUUUUCCUCAAAUUUUCCAGAACCCAACAUAACCUUUAUUUCCCCUCAAAGAAAAAUACAAGUUAUAGACAAAUUUGUUAUUUAUUUAUUUAUAAUUAUGUUAAAAGAAAAUUCACUUUUGAUUUAAAGCAUUUAAGCCUUUGGUAAAUUAUGAUUUUAAAAAUUAUUGUGAGUUUUAAAAGUCACAUCUUAAGUGUUUGAUACAAUUGUGAAAUUACUAUGCACAUGAACAAUGACCAAAAUAUAUAAGAAUAUUAAAAUUUUAACCAAAAUUUUGCAGAUUGGCGUUCAAAAUGAAUGUUUAAUUAAAUUUACAAUUUUACCAUUUAAAUCAAUUCUUAAUAUUUUUUUUAAAGAAGUGCUUUCAUUUAUCUAUUUGAACUGAAUUUAAGUAAAAAUAUUUGUAUCCUUAACAAUUGGUAAUUAAUUCAUGUGUAAAAUUUUAAUUUUAUAAAAAAGAAAGUUGAUUUCAAUUGAUUCGUUAUUUAAAAAUUAAGAAGAUAUUUAUUAAAAACAAAACUUCCACUUUUCAGGGAUAAGGCUUUCGAAUUUGUAAAAAUAAAGAUGACUUUAGUUUACUUUAUUUGAUAAAAAUUACUUCAAUUUUAUAAAAAUAGUUUUUAUUUAUUUAUUAGGAAAAUGGUUUCAAAUUUAUUAUUAAAAAAAGAUGAUUUCAUAUAUUUUAAGCAAAUUGGUUCCAGAUAUAUUAUAAAUAAAUAAAAAGUACUAAUAAUUUUAAAAAAAAAUUCUACAUGUUAACAAAAUGAGAUCAUAAUUUUAUUUUAUAUACUUAAAAAAAAUGUUUUAUAUUUUAGUAAAAUACUAUGGACUUACUUAAAAAAAGUUUAAAGAAAAAAAUGGCAACGAGUUCAUUAUUUAAACAAAAAAAAUCAGUUUAAAAAAAAUAUGAAUUCUUAUUUAUGUUUUUAAUAAAUUAUUAUAAAUUACUAGGAACCCCAAUUACUUUGUUCUCAUGCCUUCGAUCUUAUAGGAUGCAUGUAUUUAUCCCUUGUGAUCUCUAGAAUUAACGUAACAAAAAUAAAUAACUUCAAAAAUCAUAGAAUAAUACAAAUCUAGAAAUUAAAAUUUAUACUUGUGAUUUGAAUGUUUCUAAAUCGGAAUCCAUUCGAUGAAUGUGCCUGAUUACCCUGGAAGUCUUGUACACCCAAACUCUUCCUCCUGAUAACUCGAACCUUGGCCAUAGCACUGUAAAAAGUGGACUUUGAAAGGGAAAAAACUUUGGAUUUCUCUCUUUAAAGGUGGAAGAUGACUAACUAAAGUCAUGGAAACACUAACUUUAAUCUUUAAGAGGUAUUUAUAUGGUUCCCUUAUUAAGUUUAAGUGACUUGAGUCCACAUGGGUUUGGUUCAUUUAAUUUAACCCAAAACAGGUCCUAAUUGAUUAAUUAACCACACACAACCAUGUAAUUAAUCAAUUAACCAAAUCCAGAAACCUUGUUCAUAGUCCUCUAUGCAAGCUUGUAUAAUUACCAAAACACCCUUAUGCAUAAGAGUGAAUCAAGAGCCACUUCAACCCUUAUAAACCAUGCCAACAUGUUAUAUGAACCUAAAGUGGGGAACAUUGGGACUCAUAUAUGUGGGAAGCUUUCCUCCACGUGUCCUUCAUAGGUUCAAGACUCUUUGGUUGUCCAAGAUAAACGGAUAAUCCAUCUGGAAGCAAUUCGUUUAGAUCAAGACAAACUUCGUUUGGCGCAAGAGGAAAUACAAAUUUCCUUAUUCCCCAAUGCAAGACAGAAUGGAUAAACCGAGCCUACUGGAGACUUCCAGACGGAUAAACCAAGCUAGUUGGAAAUUCCAAGCAUUAGGUAGAUGAUUAACCGCUACCAAUGCCUAAGCGACAAUAAAAAAUAACAUUUAUACCCAAAAAUCAAUGUCCUUUAGUCGUUACGCACAAUCAAUGACAUUGACAAACGUAAAUGCACAAUCAACAACAUGGUCUGAGAUUCUUGCACGACAGAUAACAAAUGUUGCCAAUCAAUAGCUCUUAUUUGGUAUGAUUGCCCAAUCCGCACUAAGAUAGUGGCGUUGACUACCUUAUUAAGGUAUAAUAUCCACCAUGACGGUAAUCAUCAGCACAAGAAAGGCAUGAAUGCAUGAUCAACGCUGCAAUGAUGACGUCAUGUGUUCUAUAAAAACCCCUCCAGAAGCAUGCAAAAGGUAUGCGCACAUAGUCAUUCAAAAAAGUUAGAUUCACUCUCACUAGAUUCUGACUUAAGCUUAAGAGGGGCAUGCCCGAACCACCUGCCUGGACAUCCUUUUGUGCAAGAAAGCAAUUUGUCUGGACUAAGACAAGCUCCGUCUAGCGCAAAAGGAAAGAAAAAUUUCCUUAUUCCCUAAUGCUAGAUGAAAUAGACAGACCGAGCCGAUUGAGAACUUCCAAACGGGCAAACCAAGCUAGUCGGAAAUUCCAAGCAUUGGGCGGAUGAUUUACCGCCACCAAUGCCUAAGCGACAAUAAAAAAAAAAAUAUUUACAUCCAAAAAUCAAUGUACCUAAGUUGUUACGUACAAUCAAUGACAUUGACAAACAUAAAUGCAUAGUUAAUGACAUGGUCUGAGAUUAUUGCAUAACAGACAACAAAUGGCGCCAAUCAACAACUCUUAUUUGGUGUGAUUGUCGAAUCCGCGCUAAGAUAAUGACAUUGACUACCUUAUUAAGGCAUAGUAUCCGCCACGAUGGCAAUCAUCAGUGCAAGAAAGGCAUGAAUGCAUGAUCAACGCUGCGACGAUGACGCCAUAUGUUUUAUAAAAACCCCUCCAAAAGCAUAAAAAAAUGUACACACACAUAGUCAUUCAAAAAAGUUGGAUUCACUCUCACUAGAUUCUAACUUAAGUUUCGGAGGGCCGUGCUUGGACCACCUGUCCGGACAUUCUUUUGUGCAAGAAAGCUAUCUGCCUAACUUUGGUGAAGCUAGAAGGGUUUGCAUCCAGUUGGCAUAACACAAAAAAUAUACUUACUAGCUCUUUCAAAAUUUAAUUUUAAAGUUGAUUUAACAUCCCACUAUAAAAAAAUUAACUACACUUUAGUACCUUAUGUAAAUAACAAUUAGACAAAACUCAGAUUCAUGACUUACCAUCCAUUGCAUGUAGACUUCCUAUGAACUAGUGUUUGUAAUAUAACAAGGUAGUGUUAUCACCUAUUAAAAUAACCUCUCAAAUCAUUGAGUUACAAAUCUCACUUAUUAUGUGAUCAACUAACAUGUUAUAGCUCUAAGGAGCAUAUAUUAAAUUCCAUUAAAGAAAUUACUAUAGUAAUAGAUUUCAUGAUCACAUGUUCUUUAGAUCAACCAAGGUACCACUAUAAGAGAAAACACAUAAAGAGAAAGUACUAUUUUCUUGUGAAAUAGUUAAGAAUGGUGAUGUGAUUGUGAAACAUAUUCUUUUUUCAGUACCUAGUCUACUUUCGGGGCUAGUAGGAGUUUGUUAAGAUUGAGUCUCUAAAAGUAAGACAUGAUGUAACUAAGUUAGACUUGAUUGUCCCCUUGCUAUCAUUUUUAUGUAUUUCCAUUAAUUUACGCAUUCAACUUAUAUAUCUUACAUUGUACAUAACUUGGGUGUAUUAGGAGUUGCACACAAGAUACAAGUCAUGGGUUCUUUGUAAAUGCAGAUAAAUUGUCCAUAAUAAGUUCAUGCACCACAUCUGAAUUGAAGGGAUGACUUGUCUUGACCGUCGGGAUGAGUUUCUCAUGGUGAGUGCACUAGUAUAUGUAAUGAACAUUAGAUAAGACCUAUGAUGAAUAAUGACGUAAGACUAUCAAUUGUCAUGAUUUACCAAACUAUUAUACUGCAUGAUCAUUGAUGGCAACAUGUAUUCUCAAUAUAGUUACCAUCAUGCCCAAGACCCUUUGGGACUAUAAGAAUAGGGAAAUUCUACUAUAUCACUUACAUUGAUAAGCAUUUGGUUAAGUGCAUGAUGCAAAAUUCCAAGAAGGGUUUGCUACCCUUUGAGUUUGAAGUUGUUUUUUUUAGGAUUAAUGUCUUCGGACAUCUAAGAAGGAAUAUUACAUUAAAGCAGUAUCAUAUGCCUCUGUAAUGUGUUACUUUAAGUAUGUGAUUCUAUGUGCUAAACCAUAUAUUUUCUUUGUUGUAGGAAUGGUGAGUGGAUAUCGGUCCAAUCCAUGAUUAAAAUCUUGGAUGAAUGUUAAACAUAUACUCAAGUAUCUUAGGAGAAUGAGGUGAUAUAUACUUGUGAUUCUUUGUGAUGAGUUGGUACUCUUUGGGUACUAGGAAUUAGACUUUCAGUUUGAUGAAGACUCUCACAGGUCUACCUCUAGGUAUGUGUACGCUCUAAGUGGUUUUUGUUACUUCUGAAGGAACAAAGGAAGUCAUUUGACUUAAGAUGUUUCUUAUUAGAAUAAAUGAUAGUUUCCUUGGUUGUAUCAUCCAAGUUCCUAUUUUUUAUAACUAUGGGAUAGUGACAUGGUUUAAAGAACUAAAGUACUACUAGAAAAAAAAAAAAAGUGAUGUGAUUGUGGAACGGUUUAUUUCUACAAAGCCUAGUCUACUUUUGGGGCUAAUAGGAGUUUGUUUGGAUUAAACUCUUAAAAGUAAGACAUAAUAUAACAAAAUUAGACUUAAUUAUCUUUUUGUUAUCCUUUUUAUGCAUUGACAUUAAUACCAUAAAUUUAUGGAUAAAAAUUGGUGUAAAACGACUUUAUUGUUUUUUUUUUACAUAGAAUUAUUAUUUUUUUUAUUUUUUAUUUCACUAGACAAAUAAAAUCCAAAUUAAAUAAUGCUUAAUCCCUUGGAUUCAUUAAUGAAUUUAAUAUUUUUUAAAAAUAAUUUGAAACUCAAAUAAUGAAUUAAUUAAUACCAUAAAUUUAUGGAUAAAAAUUGGUAUAGAACGAUUUUAUUGUUUUUUUUCUAUAUAAAAUCAUUAUUAUUUUUUUUUAUUUUUUUACUAGGAAAAUAAAUUCAAAAUUAAACAAGACUUGAUGCAUUAAAUUCAUUAACGAGUUUAAUAAUUUUUAAAAAUAAUUUAAAACUCAAAUAGUGAAUCGAUUAAUACUAGAACUUUAUAGAUAAAAAUUGGUUUAAAAUAACUUUAUUGUUUCACUUCUAUAUAACAUCAUUGUUUUCUGAUUUUUUUCACUAGACAAAUGAACUCCAAAUUAAACAAGACUUAAUGCAUUGGAUUCAUUAACAAAUUUAGUAAUUUUUAAAAAUAAUUUAAAAUUCAAAUAGCCAACCAAUUAAUAUAAGAAAUUUAUGGACAAAAGUUGGUUUAUAACGAUUUUAUUGUUUCUUUUCUACAUAGGAUCAUUACUUUCCAAUUUUUUGUACUAGGCAAAUGAAUUUCAAAUUAGAUAAAACUUAAUAUGUUGGAUUCAUUAAUAAAUUUGAUAAUUUUUAAAAAUAACUUAAAACUCAAAUAAUGAACCAAUCAAUAUAAAAAAAAUUUAUGAAUAAAAAUUGGUUUAAAAUAAUUAUAUUGUUUCUCUUCUACAUAAAAUCAUUAUUUUCUAUUUUUUUUUACUAGGAAAAUGAACUUCAAAUUAAACAAAACUUAAUGUGUUGGAUUCAUUAAUAAGUUUAUUAAAUUUUAAAAAUAAUUUAAAACUCAAAUAAUAAACUUAUUAAUAUAAAAUAUUUAUAGAUAAAAAUUGGUUCAUAAUGGCUAUAUAAUUGAACCUAUUUUCCUUGAUUUUAUUAGAAUAGGGUGGAAUCUAAAUGCAAACCUCUGAUCUUGUUGUCUCAAAAUUAAUUUUUUUAGCCAUCCAAGGAAAAAAAAAAAAAAACCAGAAAAAGAAAAAUUGACUGAAUAUCCUAACGAAAAACAAACCAUUAUGAAUGAAAAGAAGAACAAGACAUAAAUUCCAAGCUUCAAAUGUGAUACAGGGGCUGCUGGCUAAGACUUAAAAUUCAAAGAUGUAGAAUUCAGAAUGUUGGGGCAUGGACCAGGGGUGGGACGGCCACCUCCACUGUGCCUUCCAACAUCUGAAUCACCUUCUUCAUGGUUGGACGUAGAACUGGGUCCGGAUGAACACACCACAAACCAACCAUUGCCAUUCUCUCGAACCUUUUGAAAUCAUCCGACACUUCUGGAUCAUGCUUAACCACCGCCUCUAGCUUACCCUUUCUCACACAAGUCAGAACCCAAUCCAUGAGAAUAAGGUCAUCUUCUUCCGAUUCUUCCUCAACCCGGUUCAGCUCUAUGUGCCUUCUGCAGCAUAUGAUCUCAAGCAGCAGCACCCCAAAACUGUAGACAUCAACCUUGGCCGUCACUGGAGCAUUUUUGAGCCAUUCUGGUGCCAUGUAUCCCA
rnacentral:lncRNA from 1 species